rnacentral:rRNA from 1 species
UACGGAGGGUGCAAGCGUUAUCCGGAUUUACUGGGUUUAAAGGGUGCGUAGGUGGGUUGGUAAGUCAGUGGUGAAAUACUAUAGCUUAACUAUGGAACUGCCAUUGAUACUAUCAACCUUGAAUACAGUGGAGGUGGGCGGAACGGGUCAUGUAGCGGUGAAAUGCCUAGAUAUGACGCGGAACACCGAUUGCGAAGGC